GGAACACCCUUGACUCUAUGGAAUCUGGUGGAGCAAAUGUUACUGUUGGAGCAGAAAUGACAUCGUAUUGGGGAUCAUUUUGAAAGGAGGUAAUUUAUGAAUGGUAAAGCAACUCAGCCUCCACUUUGCCUGUCUCCUUCCUUACAGAAUUGUGGACUUGAAAGAGUGGACAAAGGAUGGUUAUGAAAUUUGAAGCAUAAACUGUGUGAGGAGAGAGAAAGUAUGUACUGAGCCCAUCAAAAUCUGAGGUUCCCAGGACCAGAGGAGCACAUCCAGGAAGCUGCUGGAAGAACUCCCUUCUUAGGCUGGUCUUCAGUCAUCCUUGGUGUUCAUUCACAAACCAGGGAUUAGGGUGGAGGUACCAGAAAAUCACAAAUGGAGUAUUUUUUUAAUUCAAAAGGGAGAACAAAAGGAGUUAGAGAACAGGUAGUGUAAUGAUGACUCAUAGUUAAUUUCUAGCACUGAAUGAUUGGUUGGUAUUUACUUAAUAAUAAGUCAUCACGAGAAUCUAAAAUUAGCAUAUGCUGUCUGAUGCCAUGGAUUAUUUAUGUUCUAAGACUUCUUUAUGGUUUGUAAUGAGGCAUCUGACAAGGUAUAUUAACCAGUCUUUUGAAUAAGAGAUAGAUAUGUAUGUAGAUUUAUCCACGUUACAUGUAGGUGAGCAUAGAGCUGUUUAAAGUUUAUCCUAGAAAAUGUUGUUGAAGAGGAAAAAUAGCAACUUGAAGGUGAUAAGGAAUUACAGAGCAUAUACAAAAGAAGGUUGGAUUCACAUGACCAGCCAAUGGAAAUAACUGUUAUCCCUGGAAAAAUACAGAGAUCUCGCCUGAGUUUAAGUAAAAUCUUCGCAAAUACAAGACAAGGAGUCCUAGUUUAGCAAACACUCUGUAUCCAUGAUAAGCUAAUAGGGUGGGUGGUAUGGGUAUGAAAAACAAACCAGAAACUAAGGGGUUAAGGCUCCAUUAAUAGAGAAGAGAGGAAAAAUCUCACUCUACCUUAAUUGCUCUGAUGUGACAGAAAUGAAAUAUAUACCGUUUUUUUAGGUUUUGGAAUUCUUAUUUUAAACAAGGAUAUGGAUAGAAUUGUGAUUGAAAAAGUGUUAACAGGUACAGCAUCUCAAAAUGAUGCCACAUUUGAAAUGAUUAUUUUUGAUAAGAUGCCAUUUAGGAGGACCUGGAGCUUUUUAAACACUUGAAAGGAUGUGUUAUGAAAGACAUUGCAGGCAGAAUCUGUGUAGUUCUAGACGCAGGGCCAGGAACAACCCAUGGAAGUUGGUGGAAACCAAAGUUCAGUUCAAGUUGAGUGCAACUUUUUACCAUGUAGAGAUCUGAAAAUAGGCUGCCUUUUCGUAGAAAAAAAUGGCAAAUAUCUUAAUCCUCAGAAAGUCAUCUCACUAAUUAUUCCUGAAAUCAGUGUUUAAACACCUGGAACAAACUUGUUAAGCUUAGCUUUUUCUUCAACUCACAAAGCAAAUUUUAUGUUUCCAGUGGAGAUCAGGAUGUUCUUCUAGCAGGGAAAAUUGCACAAACUACAGGGAAAUGAUUAAUACUCAAUAUCAAUCUCUUGCGAUGUUCUCAUAUUUUUUCUCAAUAUUCGGAAAAAUAAAAUUGCUUCUGUUCUGUUCCUUUAGCCAGCCUGUUCUCUUCAGCUCAUUAAUUUAUCUUGGAAACUCCACUUUUCAAAUUUAAAGGCCCAUCAUUAGGAUGUUUAAUAUUGAUGGGAAAAAGUAAAAUGACUAUUUUACCCACAAAAAUAAAAACAUUUGCUAUCCUUUUUUGAUAAAGGUCUUCUAGAUUUGCUUCACCCACUUUAACUUUUUCUAUAUAUGUUAAAAUUCAGUGUGCAAUAAUAUUUUCCAUUUCUCCACAUUUUAGACUUCCUUAGCUUAUUUCUAGUCACAUAAAUUCUUUUUUAUAAAUGUUGAUAGGAAAUACCAUUCUUAAUGAUACCACCAGUGAUGAGUUGAAUACUGCCCCAGUCUGAUCAACAUGCGUGAAAGAUAUUUUCUGAGCUGUGAGUUUGAAAAAUAAAAAUAAUUUUUUAAAAGAUAUAAUGGCUCCUGUUGAGACAAUUUAUUAAUAUAAAUUCAGAGAUAUUCACAGCCAAAAGGAGCAUUGGAGAUCAUAAGAUUAUUAAGGUCACCUUAUGCUUUUGUUAUAAGAGGAAAUCCUGCAAUCGAUAACAAUGCAAUGAGUGAGUUUGUCCUGUCGUAGAUCCUUUUCACAGGGCCUGGGAUAUAGUACUUAGUGAAUGUCCAUAAACCAACAUUCUUUACUCAAAGGAGCCCUAUUCGUUCAAUAGUAAUAAUGGAGGGAUUAUAGGAAUAAUUCCUGAUUAUCUCAAGAUUUGCUUUUUAUUACCCAUUCUAGGUUCAUCAUGAUUAACUGUUUAAUAUUAUUUCGGUCCCUUGACCUCAUUCUCUGCAACUAAGGAGUUGAUGUGAGGAAGUAAGAAAAUGAGUCAAAGAUUUGGAAGAAGUCCGUUUGAAGUUGAGGGUUUCACUGAUUAACAGUGGAAUAGGUCAAAAGAAGAUGAUUUUGUUGGUUAAGUUUUUUGUCUUUUUUGUUUGGUUUUGUUUUUUGUGUGUUAGCAUGGGAGAAACUAAGGAAAUAAUUCCAAAGGAAAGGCUUUUGAUGGGGUGUUUUUCUCCUGAAUUGCAUAGUUUUCAGAUUUAUUUUAAAGGAUGAAAAUGGCCAUAUUUUCUUACUGCCAGUCAAUGUCUGUUUAUUUUUUAGGCACAUCUUUAAAAGACCCCCUAGAGAAGUGUAUAUAUGUCAUACAAUUAGCAAGUCAAAAGACUGGAGCUUACCUUUUCUAGAACAUCUCUUCCAUGUCUAUAUCUCAAUAUACCAUGGUUUUACCAAGAGGCUUGAAGUUUAUAACUGGUGCCUUGUUCUGUUCUGUAAGUUCCUGCUAAAUGCCUCAACUUUGGUGUGUCACAAGUACUUCAAAUUUCAGCCCUUUAAAUUGGCCUUGUGGUCAUUCCAUUAACUCCAGCUUCCCCUCGUUAGAUUAGUGGUGGCUCUUUUCACCCACUCACCUAAGUUGGAAUCCAAGCAUCAUCUUAGAAGCUCUGAAAGUGAUCAGGGGAGUCUGAGGGGAGGUAGAAUGUAGUGGCUAAAUGUACAGGCAGUGGUGUUCAACUGCCUUGGUUUGUAAUUCUGAGCCCACCAUUUACUGACUGCAUGAACUUGGAAAAGUAAUUUAAACCUUCAGUACUCCUAUUUAUUCAUCUGUAUAAGUUGAGAGUAUUAGAACCUACCUUAUAUAGUUGUUAUGCACAUUUAAUGAAUUAAUAAUUAUCUUAAAUAUUUAUAUGUGUUUCUUUUUAUAUUUAUGAACCUCUAAGAACAAGGCAGAAAAUAGCAUAAGCACUUUCUUCUCAUAUCUAAUUAAUCACCAAUUUUUAACAAGUAUACUCCUUAUAUUGCGCCUUUAUCUGUUCCAUCCUGUUUAUCCAGUGGUGUUCUUGGCUGUCAGUGCUUGAAUCCAGGUUCUUGUCAUAUCUCCAUUAAAUACUGCAAUUGUCAUUUUAAUAACCUUCCUGCUUUUGGUCUUUCCCUGAAUACCUCCUUCAUGCUCCUGGCUGAGUGAUCUUCCAAUAUAUUAAUAUACAUCUAAUCACAGCGUUCUUCUGUCCCACGUUCACCAGUUCAACAUUCUUUUGUGACUCAUCAUUUUAUCACUAACGCCCACCACCCCAACCCUGAUGGUUUUGAUGGGAUGUUUAUGAUGGCCGGAGGACCAGUUGGCCCAGCCCUAUCUCUUGGCACAUUCUCCCUCACAUCUUUCAAUCAAACAAUGCUGAGAGACACCCUGCCUCCAUCUUUGAGCACUUUUUUAAGACGUUAGGACUGUGACUUACCAAACUGAACUCCUUGAACUCUGCUGCUUAACCAAAAUUUUCUGGACAAUCAUACGUCUAUGUAGAAACAUGUAUGUAAGAUGAGUCUUGGAAAAACAAAUUCACUUACUUAUAAAUGGACAUACAAAUGGCAGCAAUUAUACUGUAUGCAUUGUGCUUGCUUUAUGCCAUAGGUGGACCAUGUCAAUUGAAUCUUUAUUGUUGUUUUAUGAAUUUUACCUAAACCAUUCUUUAUUAAUGAACCUUUAGUUUGCCCCUAUCUUUUUGCUCUAUAAUCAGUGUCACCAUGAACAUUCUUGUGCAUAGUCUUGCCUACAUGUACAAGAACAUUUGUAGGAAAAAUUAGUAAAAGUAGAAUCGUUGGGGCAAAGGGUGUGAAUGUUCAAAAUGUUGAUGAGUAUUUCCAAGUUGCGCUAUCAAGAGGCAGCCCCAGUUUCUAGUCCCACCACAAUACGUGAAAGUUUCCAUUACUCCUCUCCUUCCGCUCAAAGUAUAUAGGCUUUUUAAUUUAAUGUGUAGAAAUCUAAAUUCCCAUUUGAAACUCAUACUUUGUAAAUGCUGCCUCUCUCCUAAGAUAUUUUUAAGGUUUGAAAAAAGUGGUACUCAUAACAUGGCUCACCGCAGAAUGAAUUACAGUUUUUUGCAAUUUGCAAGCAUUCAAUAACUCAGUAACUUAAAGAGCCAUGUUAGGGCAGUGACACAUUCUGUGCAAAAAGAUACGAAUACAAAUUCUAGCUUACCAUUUUAUUUAAAGCCGGAAUUGUGCAGUUGAUAACAAACAGGUGAAAAUUUUCAAAAAGCUUUGUUAUAUUUUGAAUGAUAUUUACUUGAUUGACAUAUUUUGUCAGAAAACUGUCAUUUGUAAAUAAUUGCUUAGGACUUUUUUAAUAAAA
rnacentral:lncRNA from 1 species